GAACGAGAAAGCUCCUUCGGGGGUGAGUAGAGUGGCGCACGGGUGAGUAACGCGUGGGUAAUCUGCCCAGGAGUCUGGGAUAACUGUGCGAAAGCGCAGCUAAUACCGGAUGGUCGAGCUAUUUAUAGAUAGUUUGUAAAGGUUGCCUCUAAACUACGCAAUCGCUUUUGGAUGAGCCCGCGUCUCAUUAGCUUGUUGGUAGGGUAACGGCCUACCAAGGCAACGAUGAGUAGCUGGUCUGAGAGGAUGAUCAGCCACACUGGAACUGAAACACGGUCCAGACUCCUACGGGAGGCAGCAGUGGGGAAUAUUGCGCAAUGGGCGAAAGCCUGACGCAGCAACGCCGUGUGGGGGAAGAAGGUCUUCGGAUUGUAAACCUCUGUCAGGAGAGAAGAAAUAGUAGUUGUCCAAUAGGCGACUAUUUUGACGGUACCUCCAGAGGGAGCACCGGCUAACUCCGUGCCAGCAGCCGCGGUAAUACGGAGGGUGCAAGCGUUAUUCGGAAUUACUGGGCGUAAAGCGUACGUAGGCUGUCUGGUAAGUCAGGUGUGAAAGCCCACGGCUCAACCGUGGAAUUGCACUUGAAACUGCUGGACUGGAAUCCGGGAGAGGGUGGCGGAAUUCCUGGUGUAGGAGUGAAAUCCGUAGAUAUCAGGAGGAACACCGGUGGCGAAGGCGGGCACCUGGUCCGGUAUUGACGCUGAGGUACGAAAGCGUGGGUAGCAAACAGGAUUAGAUACCCUGGUAGUCCACGCCGUAAACGAUGGAUGCUAGGUGUCGGGGGUAACUUCGGUGCCGUAGUUAACGCGUUUAAGCAUCCCGCCUGGUGAGUACGGUCGCAAGGCUGAAACUCAAAGAAAUUGACGGGGGCCCGCACAAGCGCUGGAGUAUGUGGUUCAAUUCGAUGCAACGCGAAGAACCUUACCCAGGCUUGACAUCCCGCAAAUCUUCACAGAGAUGUGAGAGUGCUCUUCGGAGAAUGCGGAGACAGGUGCUGCAUGGCUGUCGUCAGCUCGUGCUGUGAAGUGUUGGGUUAAGUCCCGCAACGAGCGCAACCCCUAUGGUCAGUUGCCAGCAGGUAAUGCUGGGCACUCCGGCCAGACUGCCCGGGUUAACCGGGAGGAAGGUGGGGACGACGUCAAGUCAUCAUGGCCCUUACGCCUGGGGCUACACACGUACUACAAUGGUGGGUACAAAGGGCAGCGAAACUGUGAGGUAGAGCCAAUCCCAAAAAACCCAUCGUAGUCCGGAUUGCAGUCUGCAACUCGACUGCAUGAAGUUGGAAUCGCUAGUAAUCCCGGAUCAGCAUGCCGGGGUGAUACGUUCCCGGGCCUUGUACACACCGCCCGUCACACCACGAAAGUCGGUUCUACCCGAAGCCGCCGGGCUAACUUUUAGAGGCAGGCGUCGACGGUAGGGCUGGUAAUUGGGG
rnacentral:rRNA from 1 species